AUUACAUUUCUUCACGGCACUGGAUGCCUUGUAAAAUAUGAAGAUUGAAACAACCCGUACAGAUCUAUUGUUCAUGCAUCACAACUAUUGUUUUGAAAUUAAGAAGAACAUGACAUGACAUGCUAGCGUAACUUGCGUGUUUGUUACAGGAAUUGAAUUGAUGUUUUCUCUAUCAAUUAUUAUCUGUGUAUAAUAAUUCCAAAAGCAAACCACGAUGACAGAUAAGAAUGUUGGCAUCGCAACUAACAAAAUUGAUGUGCAAUAGAUACCAACUGAUAAUGUAACAUGAUUGCUUGAAUAGUAAGUUGCUCCAUGACUUCCCAACGGUCAUUUAUUUACUACUAAAGCUGAAAAGGGCAGGAGGACGCGGCACAAUCACUUUCUCGCCUUGCUGUCCAGGUCCAGUCAUCAUCAUUCCAUUCAAUUCAAUCAUGUCCUCCCUCUGUAGCAUCCUCAUCAUGAUUGCCGUGCUGAUGAUCAUGGUGGCAUCGGCCGCUGAUCCGGGACUCCUCUCGUGGUAUCAUGGCCGACACCGCCACGCCCAAGUGCAAAUACAUCUCAAGAAAAAGAAAAAUUGUACUGGACAUGCACGAUCAAAUUUAACAUUGACAUUACAAGUUUGCA